UUACUGGUUUGGGGUAAGCUCUUCGCCAGC
rnacentral:piRNA from 1 species